UACGUAGGGUGCGAGCGUUGUCCGGAAUUAUUGGGCGUAAAGGGCUCGUAGGCGGUUUGUCGCGUCGGGAGUGAAAACCUCGGGCUUAACUCGGGGCUUGCUUUCGAUACGGGCAGACUAGAGGUAUGCAGGGGAGAACGGAAUUCCUGGUGUAGCGGUGAAAUGCGCAGAUAUCAGGAGGAACACCGGUGGCGAAGGCGGUUCUCUGGGCCGAAACUGACGCUGAGGAGCGAAAGCGUGGGGAGCAAACAGG
rnacentral:rRNA from 1 species